rnacentral:rRNA from 1 species
CCCUUAGAUGUUCUGGGCCGCACGCGCGCUACACUGAUGCAUUCAACGAGCCUAGCCUUGACCGAGAGGUCCGGGUAAUCUUUGAAACUGCAUCGUGAUGGGGCUAGAUUAUUGCAAUUAUUAAUCUUCAACGAGGAAUGCCUAGUAAGCGUGAUUCAUCAAAUCGCGUUGAUUACGUCCCUGCCCUUUGUACACACCGCCCGUCGCUCCUACCGAUUGAAUGGUCCGGUGAAGCGUUCGGACCGUGGCCUUUGGACGGUUCGCCGUCUGUUGGCUGCGGGAAGUUCGUUAAACCUUAUCAUUUAGAGGAAGGAGAANUCGUAACA